rnacentral:rRNA from 1 species
CAGUCGCCGCGGGAAUACGUAGGGUGCAAGCGUUAAUCGGAAUUACUGGGCGUAAAGCGUGCGCAGGCGGUUUGUUAAGACAGAUGUGAAAUCCCCGGGCUUAACCUGGGAACUGCAUUUGUGACUGGCAAGCUAGAGUAUGGCAGAGGGGGGUGGAAUUCCGCGUGUAGCAGUGAAAUGCGUAGAUAUGCGGAGGAACACCGAUGGCGAAGGCAGCCCCCUGGGCCAAUACUGACGCUCAUGCACGAAAGCGUGGGGAGCAAACAGGAUUAGAUACCCGUGUAGUCCCUGUCUCUUAUAC